GUGUUGUCUUCUAUAAAACCUGAAAAUAUUUCUUUACUUUUACUAUAAAAAUAAAAAAUGAAAAUAAUAGAUCUAUCAGGGAGAAACAUAUUAAUUUGGACGUGAAAUGCAUAGGAACUCUGUGAUAUUUGUGAUUUGAGUGUUGUGUCCCCAAACAUUCAAUUGACUGGAUGAAGUGUAUUUUAUUAUAAUUUACUUGAUGUCUUAUUCCUGGUUUUCUCUAAAUGCGUUUAUUUUUGACAAAAAAAAUUCUAGGAUCGACUUAUUGCAAACAUGUUCUUAAAACGUUUCGAAAUUUCCACUCGUGAAGAUAACCAAUGAGGAGUACAACUUAAUAAAAGGAAUGCAGUUAUGACACGUUUUAUAAUCAUAAAAAUAAGUAAACCGAACAGAUAUAUUAUAAUAACAAGGUAUUUUAUUAACCAAUCAUGGUGCCCAACAUUUGAGCUAUACAAUAAAAUGAAUUGUAAAAUAAAGCACAGUAAUUUAUUAGAAUGAUUAGAGUUAUUAAAGUACCUAUAAACAAAGUAACAAAAUUAUAAACAAUGUUAUUGAUAAAAUACUAAGUCGUUUUGAAGCAACUGCAACCUACAGAAAAUAUUUUUUUAAUCAAUGGGUAAACCUCGGACUAAGAGAGACAACUCUUGGUCAAAUUUUUAUAAUUCUAGAUAUCAAAUUUCAAUUAUAUGUCUAGGAGUUUUAUUGGUUCUUAAACAAGUGAUUUAAAAUAUUUUUGAAAAUUAAACAAAUCUGCUGAUGACAUAAUAUAAAAAAUGGCAUAUAAUCAGCUUACUUUGUUUUGUUUUAAUUCAUAAUAUAAAGACCGAUGUUGUGAUCUGCUAUCUUUAGAGGAGAACAUUCGAAAAGAAAUGAAAAUAAUCUGCAAUGGCGUAUUUUAAAACAUAGCUUUUCGAAUGUGCAUCGGAGAAAAAGUAUAAUAGUUUAGUGUAUAUAUGGAUUGCAAUGUUAUCAACACUACCGUUUGCUAAAAAAAACUAAAAAUAGACCAUGGUAUUCGCUAAAUAAUUGUGUUUUCAUCAACAUAUGUUUUCAAACUAUUUCAUUUACUAUCUUAGUAAAUGAACAUGUAUUGCAUACGUUAUUUCAAACAUUAGUGUUCAAGUUAAAUACAUUCAAAAGUAUGUACAGAUUAAAUGAAAAGAAAAUGUAUAGCUCUUAUUUAUUUGAAAGUUGUACAGCACUCGGAUAACUUAACAUACACUAGUCUGAAUUUUCGGAUUAUAAAGAUAAAUGUGGUUACUCAAUAAUUUUGGUUGCGUAACGUCAAGGAAAAGAACAGAAAAAUAGCAACUUUAAACAUGUGUAAUCUUCCAUAAAACCUAACAAUGUGCAUCGGUUAGUAGAUAAGUGCAAAAUAUAAAGAUUGAGAAUAAGAAAAAAACAAUAUUUUAGACGUGAAAUACCAUAGACCCUUGCAAUUGUUGUGAUUCAAUAAAACAAUAAAAUUAUAGGUCACAAGAAGUUUUAAUUUACUACGAAAUUAUUUUUUUUUAUCAACUUACUUAUGUUUGAUUCUUGUUAUUCUCCUAAUGUAUUUAUCUUUGACGAUGUUUGUUUUCUAGAAUCGACUUACUAUUAUCAUGUAUUUAAACUAUUUCCAUUAUUAUAGAUAACACAUGAGGAGUACAACAUAACAAAAGAAAUGCAGCUAUGACACUUUUUUAUAAACACAAAGAUGUAAGUAAAUCAAACAAGAAACAUUAUAAUAACAAGAUACAUGAUAAUUGAAAGAUAUUGUAUAAACCAUCCACGGUGCCCAAAUUUCAGGUUUACAAUAAAAUGAAUUUCAAAAUAAAACACAGAAAUUGAUCAGAAUGAUAAAAGUGAUUAUAAUACAUUUCAUCAAAGUAACAACAUUAAACUUCAUGUCAUUGAUAAGAUAAGUCAUUUUGAAGCACCAACGACCUGAAAACAAUGGAUUUCUGAAUACAGGUGUAAACCAAGGACUAAGAGGAGAGACAAAUGAUGAUCAA
rnacentral:lncRNA from 1 species